rnacentral:lncRNA from 1 species
CCUCACACUAGGAGUCUUUCUUCCUCAGCCUCCUGAGUUCUUGGGAUACAAUGGUAUACCACCAGGUCGGAGCUCAAAAGUUGUUAAAAUAAGAUUUUCUGUGUGCAGUACCAAAGGAAAGCCUAUAUGGAUAUCUCAUGGUACCUCAGACUCCGAGACACUGAAGUAUUUCAAAGCUUCUCAGAGAUGCCCAGAGAAAAUCCUUAAUGCAGAACUAAAGGAAAGUUAAUCUGAAUUCCAAGCAUUCCAGAUGUAACAGAAAGAAGGCAUGCUUCUGAAUCAGAGAGUCCUAGGGCUUCCAACAGUAUGCUGAAUGGAAGUAGAAAAAGUGAGUUUUCCAGCUGACCUGAACAAAGGGGAGCUCAUGGACCCCAGACUGAUAGCUGGGAAACCAGCAUAGGACUGACCGAGACCCCCUGAACAUUGGUGUCAGUGAGUAGGCCUGGGCAAUCUAUGAGGCCUCCGGUAGUGGAUCAGUAUUUAUCCCUAGUACACGAAUGGACUUUGGGAGCCCACUCCACAUAGAGCUCUCUCAGCCUAGACACAGGGGGGAGGGCCUAUGCCCUGCUCCAAAUGAUAUGACAGACUUUGAAGAUUCCCCAAUGGAAG